ACGACAAGUGACAGUGGGCGCACCUGAUACCAAGAUGCCAAGGUGGUCGUGGGUCUCGCGCUCGGACAGUUCAUCUUGCUGCUUAUGACCUCCAUCAGAUUCUCCUCCGAGCUUGCCUGCCGAGAUGCCAGCACUGCUUGUUUGUAUAGAUGCUCAAGAAGACUGCUCAAAGGAGGACAGUUUGUAGGACAGUUUGUGUGACAGUGAGUAACAUGCCCCCCUCCUUCUCUAGCUCCUCUUUCUUGCUUGACUGGGUUGCAUUGCAAGAAUUACUGUGCAUAGGUAGCUGCAGCUGUGCACAUAUUUUUAUCAAAUUGCAUUCUAGCUUUGAUGUUGCAGAUGCGAGCACUACCUGUUUGUAUAAAUGCUGAAGGAGAAAACUGUUCGGAGAAGGACAUGUGUGUGUGAGAGAGAGAGGGAAGGAGAAACAGGGGCCGGGAGUAAGAGGUGAAGAGCAAGGAGAACCACAUGUUGUCCCUUUGUCAUCGACACCAUCCCGCCGUUGCAGGCUUGUCCCCAUGGCCUCUCUCUUGUGAGCUGUUACCCUGCCCUGGUUCUUUGUCUCUGCCUCUUUCAUGGUUUCUUCCUUUCGAAGAUUUCUUUUUUGUCUCCCUUCUAAAGGUAAGUUCUGCCUUAGCAUCCUUCAUGUUGUAACACAAACAAAAUAUUAGUGAUCUGACAGCAACACCAUUUUCUGUUGAGUUAUUUAAUUUAGAUGAUUGCUGCUAUACAACUUGACUGCCAAAGUCUGUAGCAUUUUCUACUUGAUAAAUAAAGAACCAGGUCACACCAUUUUCUUUACUUUAUUAUUUAGAUUAUAUGCAGGAGUUUUGGUGUGGAUUAUAGAUUCUAAAGUUACUCUUAGCUUGUCAGCUUUGUUGAUCCUAAUUUACAAUGUUCACCAAGGAUUAUAGACCAUGGUACCUUCAUCUGUUGUCGACAAUUUCCUCUUUCAGAUUUGAUGUUAGUUUGUACAAGCUAGUGGGUUGUGCUUAGAUGGUAUGGUUUCUCUGCUAUUUAGAAACUACACUUAACACUCAUAAAGUACAAUGAUCGGAUCCUAAACUGAAAUAUUUAUUUUGGCGGGUUUAAAAUUUGAUGUGGGAUGGGCAUACGAGUUUGAUGUUUGCAGUCCUCUCAGAGCUGCAAGUCGCUCGACAACACGACAAAUUCAGUUACAGAUUUUUACCAAAUCUAACUGAAAUAAAGUUCAGUUCAGCAAACCAUGUCUGUUGGAAGGAAGCAAAUUUCUUGCCUUCCGAAUCCUACAUAGCCAUCAUAUUUUAUUUCAGACUGAAUAGUCCCAGCUCAGUGUAUCCUUGCUAAAAUAAGAACAUCAUUUUUUUAGGGGAUGCCACAAAACAAAAACUGACCAGGACUGCAUCUCUCAUAUUUUCUUGCUUAGAUUGUUAAUCUGAAUUCGUGUUUGAUAUUGUAGUAUGGAGGUUUCACCAUGAUGCAUGUUCUGUUGUCGUUUGUUUUCCAACUGCUUUGAUAUUAAUUUACAAGAUAGUAAGUUUUAUACGUGUGGUUGGAUGUCAAUCUUUACAGUUUGAUGACUAGA